GAGAGAGACAUGCGCGCAUAUCAAUAAGCGGAGGAAAAGAAACUAACAAGGAUUCCCUUAGUAACGGCGAGCGAAGCGGGAAGAGCUCAAAUUUGAAAUCUUCAAGGUUUUACCUUGACGAAUUGUAGUUUAAAGAAGUGUUUUCUGCUGAAGUUUUGGUAAAAGUUCUUUGGAAUAGGACAUCAUAGAGGGUGAGAAUCCCGUAUUUGACCAUUAUUUUCAGCUUUGUGAUACACUUUCAAAGAGUCGGAUUGGUUUGGGAAUGCAGUCCAAAAUGGGUGGUAAAUUUCAUCUAAAGCUAAAUAUUGGCGAGAGACCGAUAGCGAACAAGUACCGUGAGGGAAAGAUGAAAAGAACUUUGAAAAGAGAGUUAAACAGGUACGUGAAAUUGUCGAAAAGGGAAGCGUUUGACACCAGUGUUGUUUUCUCGAAAAUCAAUUAAAAAUGGCUCGAUUUUGUAUUGUUGAGACCUUAAAAGCUCACUGUACAUUUUUCGUGUCUUUUUUAAUGCACUUUUCGUUUAACAAGUCAACAUCAGUUUCUUUUGUUGUAAAAGGGUCAUUGGAAGGUGGCUUUCUUUUCGGAGAAAGUGUUUAUAGCCUUUGGCCUCUGCAAUCGGAGAGACUGAGGUCUGCAGCGUAGACUCUUCGGGGUUAGAUACAUUUGUGCUAAGUUAUAGCUUUUUAUAGACAACUUGUUGACUAUAAUUAGUCUUGUAGCUUACUCGCUUAUGCUAUUUUACCUACGCUUAGGAUGUUGAGUCGUAGAGCACGCAG
rnacentral:rRNA from 1 species